ensembl:lncRNA
UCUAUAGGAGUCUUCAUCAGUGUACACUCUGCAAAAACAUGGCUGAUAGCAAAGAGAUUGUAUCCAGCAGUGUUUCCUCAUGGACUCCAGAGUUCAUCCGGGAGCUUCUUCCAGCUGCGGAGCGAACGGCUCUUCUCUAUCAUCUCUCUUACCUGUGUCUGGGUGGUUUCCCAAAGCUGGAGCGUCUGAUCAGAGAAAGAGCUCUCGAAACACAGCUACUGUUUAAAUCCUCUGUGGUGGUUCUGCUGGAGUGUGUUAUCGCGAGUUCCACCCUGGUUUUCUCCCUGCUUCCGUCGCUGUUGAUGGCUGUUGAACACAAUGAACCCUCUCUGGCUGUGAAGUACCUGGGGGAAAUCAGAGCAAAGAUUAAUGACAUCAUUAUAGCUGUGGAAGACAUUGUGAAGAGGUAUGAUGAACAUAACCAAAGUGUAGCGUCAUGCACCAGUGAUGUGUUUCAAGAAAAGACAGAGACAGAAAAACAACUAACUCAAACAACGGAGGAAAUUAAGAGUCUGGAGGAGGCCGUGGCCAACCUUGAGGAGGAGCUGAGAAAAAGGGCUGAAAACAUAAAUGAAAUACAGAAAACAAUUGAAGAAAAAAACAAUGAGCUGCAGAAUCGCAUCCGAGAUGCUUCUAGCAAAAACAUUGGCUUUGGUAUCCUGACUGCCUUGGUGCCAUUUACUGGAGCCAUUGUUAGCUUUAUUGACGAUGCUGUGACUGGCCCUGGUGAUGCUGCUCAAACUCAAGCUCUCAACGCCGAACUGUCCCGUCUCAUGUCUGAAAAGAGCAGUCUGCAAAAACAAGAGUCCUCAAUCCAAGUCAAACUGACUGAUCUUCAGAUGCAGCUGGCUAAUUGCAAAAUACGGCUGGGUGUGAUUCCCAGUCCCGUUCACCUUGUAGAAGUCCAGAAGUGUCUUUCUCAAAUCCAGCAGAUUCUGGUUCAGCUUCAGAAGUUCUGGGAGAAAGUGGGAUCUCUGCUAGAUACGCUGAAGGAGAAGACCUUUGUUAAUGAGGAUCUCAUUGAGCACCUGAGUGAUCUGAAGCAGGAGUUUGUGACCUCUAUUGAAGAAGCAGAAAAGUGCUGGCAGAGAUUUGGUGAAUGCUGUCAGAGAGCACAAGUCAUCUUCAGUGUUCAGUCUAAAGAUGCAUACAAGUUCCUGGAGACGAAUCCGUCCUCACUUUCGAAGGAUGAAUGGGACGAGCAGCACAAGUCUAUCAUAGAGAAGCUGAAUCAGAUCAGCCCUCAGGAGAUGCUUAUGAUCUGAGUGAAACACAGAAAACUGAUGCUUCCUUCAUACUUAAUGACAUGCAAUGCUUACAGAUUCUCUCUGACAUUUUUGUAAUACUUUGUAACGUAACAGAACUUUUACAACAGCAGUAAAAAAUAUUUUGAAGGAUCUAAGGAGGAUCCUGCUUUAAGACAGCGUCCAUACAUUUGUGUUGUGUUUUAUUGUCUUUCUAUUCAUUUAUUCUUCAAACAUUUAAUCAUAUAAUCAUUUAUAAUAACCAUUUAUAUACUCAUUUAUUUGAUUAAUUCAUUGAUUCGUUCCUUUUUUUCUAGCCUAUUGUGGUUUAGUCUUAUAAUUUGUGUUGUUUCAAGGGAUAUUUGUCUCCAUGAAUAAGAGAUAAGAUAAUGUCUUUGUUGUUGUGAAGCAGUAGCUUUCCAUUGCUAUGGUUUGUGGUAUUACAUACUUGUUGGAUUUGUGUUGGUCUGAGCAUUUAAACAUAUGCAACUGAGAUUAUUCAAUAAACUCUGCUCCUUUUUUAUCA